CACUUUGGGAGAAAACAAUAGUGACGUGAAUUUCUUUUUUUUUUUUUUUUAGCAACAGCAAGUUCUUAAUAUUGUUGGACAAUUUUUAAAAGAGGAAAUUAAGGAAGCAACUACAUAGUUCCUUUAUUACCAACGUUCAUAUCACAAAAGCAGCGAGCUUUUCUUCAUUUCACGGUAGAAAAUGUAAUCUUUCUCAAGGACAGCAUACAGGUUUCGCACACCGCUUCGAUCUUGUUGUUCCGUUUGUCGCGUGGUUGAAUUCGAACUUUCUUCAAAGUGAAUUAAGGAGGAAGAAGAGGAUUUCUUGGCAAAUAAGGAUAAAGGGGCGAUGAAGCAAGCUUGGUUACGAUCGGUCUAUAACAGGUACAGACAAUCGGUUUGGUGACCCUUCAGCAUAGGACUUCUACUCAGCUGUCUUGGAGAGCUCCGUUGUUCCGGAGUCUAGACUUUUAAUACAGAUCUCAUGAUAUAUAUAUGUAUAUGUUUAUCCAGGGGUACGGCGGGGCCCUAUUCCGUCAUAGGUUACUGUUGAUACUCUUAGAGGUCUGUAGACAUAUGUGUGGGUUGUGUAUAAGUUUUGUUCAGCCGUGUCUAAACGAUGUGCGAUGGAUAUGUUCGUCUGUGAUGGCAGCCUUGUCGGCUUGCAUAUGAUAUGAUAUUGAUGUAUAGUGGCAGCCUUGUCGGCUUGCGUAUCAUUUUAUGAUUUGAUCAGUA